rnacentral:rRNA from 1 species
GGGAGUGGGGUACUAAUACAUGCAAGUCGAGCGAAUGGAUUAAGAGCUUGCUCUUAUGAAGUUAGCGGCGGACGGGUGAGUAACACGUGGGUAACCUGCCCAUAAGACUGGGAUAACUCCGGGAAACCGGGGCUAAUACCGGAUAACAUUUUGAACCGCAUGGUUCGAAAUUGAAAGGCGGCUUCGGCUGUCACUUAUGGAUGGACCCGCGUCGCAUUAGCUAGUUGGUGAGGUAACGGCUCACCAAGGCAACGAUGCGUAGCCGACCUGAGAGGGUGAUCGGCCACACUGGGACUGAGACACGGCCCAGACUCCUACGGGAGGCAGCAGUAGGGAAUCUUCCGCAAUGGACGAAAGUCUGACGGAGCAACGCCGCGUGAGUGAUGAAGGCUUUCGGGUCGUAAAACUCUGUUGUUAGGGAAGAACAAGUGCUAGUUGAAUAAGCUGGCACCUUGACGGUACCUAACCAGAAAGCCACGGCUAACUACGUGCCAGCAGCCGCGGUAAUACGUAGGUGGCAAGCGUUAUCCGGAAUUAUUGGGCGUAAAGCGCGCGCAGGUGGUUUCUUAAGUCUGAUGUGAAAGCCCACGGCUCAACCGUGGAGGGUCAUUGGAAACUGGGAGACUUGAGUGCAGAAGAGGAAAGUGGAAUUCCAUGUGUAGCGGUGAAAUGCGUAGAGAUAUGGAGGAACACCAGUGGCGAAGGCGACUUUCUGGUCUGUAACUGACACUGAGGCGCGAAAGCGUGGGGAGCAAACAGGAUUAGAUACCCUUGGUAGUCCCA